CCGGCGAUGUCCGAAUGGGGAAACCCAGUGCAAUUCGUUGCACUAUCGUUAACUGAAUACAUAGGUUAACGAGGCGAACCGGGGGAACUGAAACAUCUAAGUACCCCGAGGAAAAGAAAUCAACCGAGAUUCCCCCAGUAGCGGCGAGCGAACGGGGAGCAGCCCAGAGUCUGAAUCAGCUUGUGUGUUAGUGGAACGGUCUGGAAAGUCCGACGGUACAGGGUGAUAGUCCCGUACACCAAAAUGCACAGGUUGUGAACUCGAAGAGUAGGGCGGGACACGUGGUAUCCUGUCUGAAUAUGGGGGGACCAUCCUCCAAGGCUAAAUACUCCUGACUGACCGAUAGUGAACCAGUACCGUGAGGGAAAGGCGAAAAGAACCCCGGCGAGGGGAGUGAAAAAGAACCUGAAACCGUGUACGUACAAGCAGUGGGAGCACCUUCGGGUGUGACUGCGUACCUUUUGUAUAAUGGGUCAGCGACUUAUAUUCUGUAGCAAGGUUAACCGUAUAGGGGAGCCGCAGGGAAACCGAGUCUUAACUGGGCGUUAAGUUGCAGGGUAUAGACCCGAAACCCGGUGAUCUAGCCAUGGGCAGGUUGAAGGUUGGGUAACACUAACUGGAGGACCGAACCGACUAAUGUUGAAAAAUUAGCGGAUGACUUGUGGCUGGGGGUGAAAGGCCAAUCAAACCGGGAGAUAGCUGGUUCUCCCCGAAAGCUAUUUAGGUAGCGCCUCGUGAAUUCAUCUUCGGGGGUAGAGCACUGUUUCGGCUAGGGGGUCAUCCCGACUUACCAACCCGAUGCAAACUACGAAUACCGAAGAAUGUUAUCACGGGAGACACACGGCGGGUGCUAACGUCCGUCGUGAAGAGGGAAACAACCCAGACCGCCAGCUAAGGUCCCAAAGUCAUGGUUAAGUGGGAAACGAUGUGGGAAGGCACAGACAGCCAGGAUGUUGGCUUAGAAGCAGCCAUCAUUUAAAGAAAGCGUAAUAGCUCACUGGUCGAGUCGGCCUGCGCGGAAGAUGUAACGGGGCUAAACCAUGCACCGAAGCUGCGGCAGCGACACUAUGUGUUGUUGGGUAGGGGAGCGUUCUGUAAGCCUGCGAAGGUGACCUGUGAGGGUUGCUGGAGGUAUCAGAAGUGCGAAUGCUGACAUAAGUAACGAUAAAGCGGGUGAAAAGCCCGCUCGCCGGAAGACCAAGGGUUCCUGUCCAACGUUAAUCGGGGCAGGGUGAGUCGACCCCUAAGGCGAGGCCGAAAGGCGUAGUCGAUGGGAAACAGGUUAAUAUUCCUGUACUUGGUGUUACUGCGAAGGGGGGACGGAGAAGGCUAUGUUAGCCGGGCGACGGUUGUCCCGGUUUAAGCAUGUAGGCUG
rnacentral:rRNA from 1 species